rnacentral:rRNA from 1 species
CAGGCUUAAUACAUGCAAGUCGUGGGGCAGCAGGUCCGUAGCAAUACGGAUGCUGGCGACCGGCAAACGGGUGCGUAACACGUACGCAACCUUCCUUCAGGCGGGGAAUAGCCCGGGGAAACCCGGAUUAAUACCCCAUAAAAUCUUGGGAUGGCAUCAUCCUAUUAUUAAAGCUUCGGCACCUGAUGAUGGGCGUGCGGCUGAUUAGGUAGUGGGCGGGGUAACGGCCCGCCAAGCCAGCGAUCAGUAGCUGAUGUGAGAGCAUGAUCAGCCACACGGGCACUGAGACACGGGCCCGACUCCUACGGGAGGCAGCAGUAAGGAAUAUUGGUCAAUGGACGAAAGUCUGUACCAGCCAUGCCGCGUGGAGGAUGAAGGUCCUCUGGAUUGUAAACUUCUUUUAUUUGGGACGAAAAUGGGGAAUUCUUUCCCACUUGACGGUACCAGAUGAAUAAGCACCGGCUAACUCCGUGCCAGCCGCCGCGGUAAAAC